rnacentral:rRNA from 1 species
UACGUAGGGUGCGAGCGUCAAUCGGAAUUACUGGGCGUAAAGCGUGCGCAGGCGGUUUUGUAAGCCAGAUGUGAAAUCCCCGGGCUUAACCUGGGAAUGGCAUUUGGGACUGCAAGGCUUGAGUGCGGCAGAGGAGACUGGAAUUCCUGGUGUAGCAGUGAAAUGCGUAGAUAUCAGGAGGAACACCGAUGGCGAAGGCAGGUCUCUGGGCUGACACUGACGCUCAUGCACGAAAGCGUGGGGAGCAAACAGG